UUUUACGGCCAUACCACCCUCCGUAUGCCCGAUUUCAUCCGAUGUCGAAAGCUCAGCAGGGGCGUCUCUGGUUAGUGCUUGGAUGCGAGGCCGCCUGGGAAUACCAGGUCCUGUGAGCU
rnacentral:rRNA from 1 species